rnacentral:rRNA from 1 species
AUGAAAUGCGUAGAGAUNCGGAAGAACACCAAAGGCGAAGGCAGUUUCCUGGAUGGCACCUGACGCUCAGGGACGACAGCUAGGGGAGCAAACGGGAUUAGAUACCCCGGUAGUCCUAGCCGUAAACGAUGACCACUAGGUGUGGGAGGUAUCGACCCCUUCCGUGCCGCAGCUAACGCACUAAGUGGUCCGCCUGGGGAGUACGGUCGCAAGAUUAAAACUCAAAGGAAUUGACGGGGACCCGCACAAGCAGCGGAGCGUGUGGUUUAAUUCGAUGCAACGCGAAGAACCUUACCAGGGUUUGACAUGCAGUCGCACCGCCGAGAGAUCGGCGUCCCCGCAAGGGACGGCUGCACAGGUGCUGCAUGGCUGUCGUCAGCUCGUGCCGUGAGGUGUUGGGUUAAGUCCCGCAACGAGCGCAACCCUCAUCGUCGGUUAUAGGUGUCCGACGAGACUGCCACGAUCAACGUGGAGGAAGGUGGGGAUGACGUCAAGUCAGCACGGCCCUUACAUCCUGGGCGACACACACGCUACAAUGGUCGAGACAACGGGUAGCCAACCCGCGAGGGGGAGCCAAUCCCAGCAAACUCGAUCUCAGUUCAGAUUGUAGGCUGCAACCCGCCUGCAUGAAGUUGGAGUUGCUAGUAACCGUGGGUCAGCACACCACGGUGAAUACGUUCCCGGGUCUUGUACACACCGCCCGUCACACCACGAAAGUCGGCAACACCUGAAGCCGCUGGGCUAACCCUAUGGAGCAAGCGAGGCAGGCGUCGAGGGUGGGGUCGGUGAUUGGGGUGAAGUCGUAACAAGGUAACCGU